CUGGCUCAGGACGAACGCUGGCGGCGUGCCUAACACAUGCAAGUCGAACGGAACUGCUUCGAAGGAUUUCUUCGGAAUGACAUUGAUUCAGUUUAGUGGCGGACGGGUGAGUAACGCGUGAGUAACCUGCCUUCAAGAGG
rnacentral:rRNA from 1 species